GGCAUGGCUCAGUGGUUAAGAGCACUGACUGCUCUUCCAGAGGUCCUGAGUUCAAUUCCCAGCAACCA
rnacentral:tRNA from 1 species